GAGUCUAAAGGAGAACGGGCUGCCACAUCUGUCACUCCAAUGAUCACCAGGGUUGAAUGGGCUGAUAGCGGCUGGGCAGGUGUCCCAUUACCCUGCACAGCUCCACGUGCAUCCUACCAGAAGCUGUAUGCUCGGCAGAAGACCAGAACCUUCCAUGACAGAGGAAGGCCAUCUUUGGUCAAGGGUGCACAAGUAGUUGUGUUACCCCCGGCUAGAACCCCUGCUAGAAGCUCCCAAGGUUAAGUCGGGGGAGGGAACUCUUAUUUGUUUAUAUAUGUAGUUGUUUAAUUUGUUAGUGAUGCU
rnacentral:snRNA from 1 species